rnacentral:rRNA from 1 species
UACGUAGGGUGCGAGCGUUGUCCGGAAUUAUUGGGCGUAAAGAGCUUGUAGGCGGUUUGUCGCGUCUGCCGUGAAAUUUCGAGGCUCAACCUCGAACUUGCGGUGGGUACGGGCAGACUAGAGUGUGGUAGGGGAGACUGGAAUUCCUGGUGUAGCGGUGAAAUGCGCAGAUAUCAGGAAGAACACCUAUGGCGAAGGCAGCUCUCUGGGACGGUACUGACGCUGAGACGCGAAAGCGUGGGGAGCGAACAGG